rnacentral:rRNA from 1 species
UGGCGGGACGGGGUGGAGUAAUGUCUGGGAAACUGCCUGAUGGAGGGGGGUAACUACUGGAAACGGUAGCUAAUACCGCAUAACGUCGCAAGACCAAAGAGGGGGACCUUAGGGCCUCUUGCCAUCGGAUGUGCCCAGAUGGGAUUAGCUAGUAGGUGGGGGAAGGGCUCACCUAGGCGACGAUCCCUAGCUGGUCUGAGAGGAUGACCAGCCACACUGGAACUGAGACACGGUCCAG